GUAGGUGAACCUGCGGAAGGAUCAUUACUAGAGCAAAGGACAGGCAGCGCCCCACAGAAGCUUGCUUCGUGGCGGGGCUACCCUACUUCGGUAGGGUUUAGAGCCGUCGACCCUCUCGGAGAAGGUCGGUCCUGAACUCCACCCUUGAAUAAACUACCUUUGUUGCUUUGGCGGGCCGCCUCGCGCCAGCGGCUUCGGCUGUUGAGUGCCCGCCAGAGGACCACAACUCUUGUUUUUAGUGAUGUCUGAGUACUAUAUAAUAGUUAAAACUUUCAACAACGGAUCUCUUGGUUCUG
rnacentral:misc_RNA from 1 species